UACGGAGGGUGCGAGCGUUGUCCGGAAUCAUUGGGCGUAAAGGGCGCGUAGGUGGCUUCUUAAGCGUGCGGUGAAAGCCUGGGGCUCAACCCCGGGUCGGCCGUGCGAACUGGGGGGCUGGAGCACUGUAGAGGCAGGCGGAAUUCCGGGUGUGAGCGGUGGAAUGCGUAGAGAUCCGGAAGAACACCGGUGGCGAAGGCGGCCUGCUGGGCAGUUGCUGACACUGAGGCGCGACAGCGUGGG
rnacentral:rRNA from 1 species